UUUGGUCUUCAUUGCUAACAGCUGCUUCUGACCUCACUUCUAGAGAAUUAUUUUAUGGAUGAUACCUGAUUCUAACAAAGAAUUGCUGAGAAGUCUAUUUUGAGCUAAACAAGACUUAAAAAGCCCAGUGCUCACUGCCCCUGACUGGUCUCCUGAUACCCCGCCCACAGCCCAGAACCCCUGUUCUGACCAGGCUGGGUCUGUCACACAGUGCACCAUAUUUCUGAAAGGAAACAGAAGUCUUAUUAUUGCCAUCUUCACACUGACUUGAAGGAAAUAAAGUUGGUUAACUGGGUUGGAAAAGGAAGGAAGAAGAG